GGAGUGGACUGCCAGGAAACAAAAGCUUGCUGGGGAUUUUCUAGAAGAGUGUUUAUGCUGUGUGCUGAAGAGGGCUUUGUGCAGUACCGAUGAUGCCAAGGUUGCAAUGGAUAAUUUGCAGGUGCCUGGUGGCAAGUUGUGUGCAGGAGGGCUGCAUAUCCAGGACAUUGAAGAAAGGCAGACUUGCCCCUUAUCUGCUUUCUCUUUCCUGCUUUCCCCUGCUCCCUCUAGCCUGCUCCCUUUUCCCUUUCCCUUUCCCCUGCUCCCUUUUCCCUAAUUAGGACUCUGCACUAACUGCCACACUGUGGCAAAUACACAGACGUUGUAAGGAUUGGGGAUUAUGGAAUUCUGGCUGCCUAGUAGGAGGUGUUAGGAAGGGCUUCACGAGGAGGAGAUGAUUAGGUUGAAUCUUAACGAAUGAGUCAGAGUGGAGCUGGGCACAGUGCUAUGCACCUGCAGUCCCAGCUACUUGAGAGACUGGGAUGGGAGGAUAACUUGAGCACAGGAGUUUGAAUCCAGCCUCGGCAACAUAGUGAGAUCCUGUCUCUUAAAAAAAAUGAGUCAGAGUGACUUGUGAGAAGUCUGAGGCGAACGGGAAGAGCAUUCCUUAUCGAGGACCAUAUAAGCAAAGGCCCACAAGUGAGCAAUUCAUAGGCUAUGGGGGCUAAGGAAGAGGGAGGCAUCAAAACUGACUCCCAAAUUUUUGAUUUAGGCAAUUGAGUUGAUAUUGGUUCCAUUCACUGAGCCAGGGAGCACUGGAGAAGAAGCAUGUUAGAUUUGAGAUGCUUGUGUGACAACUAGAUGGAGACCCUAUGGGUGAUAAGCUGAAGGAUGAGUAUCCAGCUUGGGGGAAGGGAUGGGAUGCAGGUAAGGGCAUGAGAAGGUGGCCUGAGGAGCAUGACUGCGGGAUAGAGCCAUGGAGCAAGCAGCACUUAAAGGAUGGACAAGGAAAUAAAUUCUGUGAAGGAGGUGAAGAAAGAAUGGCUAGAAAGAGAAGUGAACAUAAGAGGACAACUCAGUGAAGUUCCACAAACUGAGCACUUCCUGUAACCAGCACCCCAGAUCAAGAAUCAGAACGUGACAAGCACCUAGAAUCCACCUUUUUGCCUUCUGUUAGUCACAAUGUCCCCAAGGGUAAAUACUACCA
rnacentral:lncRNA from 1 species